GAGGGCGCGCGCCCCCUGCCGGCCAGGGUAGAGACAAGCGGUGGGCCAUGCCGCGGGAGAGCUAGCGGGGUUGUCCACAGGUGUGUGGUUCACAUGGAGGUCAUGUGGAAGUCAGAGGACAACUCAAGCGAGCCGGUAGUGGCUGAUCCAUGAUCCGUCAGCCACGUGAUUCAGUGAGUAGAAGCGCUUGCUCCCAAGCUUGAAGACCCGAGUGAGUUCCAUCCCUGGAAUCCACAUGGUUAUGGAGGAGGAAGAAAACCGACUCUACAAAGCUGUCCUCCACUCUCCCCAUGUGCUCUACGGCACAUGCGCACUCCCAUCCCCAUACAUAGUAUGUUAAAUGUCAUACUUUUUGAAAAAAGCUCUCCUCCUCUCU